CAGUGUCAGUUCGUUUGCGAAUUAUGUGAAAAGCGAAUUCGGACGCAACGUUAUAUUCGAAAAUCGAAAAAAGGCGCAAAAAGUCAAAACGAAACGGAAAAGCGUCAACGAACCGGUGUGCAAGUCGUAAUGUGCGAAAGGCUACAAAUAAAUUAAUUAUAUUUCGGUGAUUCGUGUUUUAUUGCUCGCAUUGCCUGUGGUUUUAUAGCGCUGUGACAUUUGGUACAUACUCGUAUAUAAGAGAAAAUCGUAAAAAUAAAACGAAAUUGAGAUAUGUGGUGCACCGCCGUAAGCGGGCCUCGUUAGUGUUUGUUGUAAUGAGUGUUUAUAUAAAUUUCGUGUUAAAUGAGAAAAGACCAUGUUGGUGACCAACUAUGGCAAUUAAUCUGCUCCUAAGUCAACGAUAAAUCAAACAGUCAGACAGUCGGAAUAAACUUACUUGUAGUACAUAAUGCUCGAAAGCUGAUCAUGAAUUAUCAAGCUCCUGAUACCGAGUAUGCGGAUCUGAGUGACUAUUGUUGACUUUUUGCCGAAAAUAGCGAUUAAUCUCCACAAAGUAUUAAUGAAACUUACAGAAAGUCUUUUCCUGCAAAAAUGUGUCCUGGUGCUAAAAAUGAGAAAAAAUCGGUUCAUUGGUUCCUAACGACGUCAUAUACUUAACAUAAGGAUUUUCAAACAACAUGGUUUGAUUCUGACUUUGGUCAAUAUCUAAGAAAUCAUAAUGAAAUGGAGAGAAGACGCUUGUGAUUAAAAUGGAUUAAAUCGGGCCUCAACUGUCAAUCCUAGUCACCUGUAUCCGAGCGCAAUGACAAUGCGGAAAAACCUUCAAGUAGCAUAAGGAGGCAGUAAGGCAAACUGACGCUGCUAGCAAGCAAUUGAAAACUCUACCGACUCACUCUUACAGAUGAGGUUGGAGGGGGCCACUGAGGUGCUUCAGCAAUCAGUACAAAAAAGCAAAAGAAAGCAAAACUGAAUAGAAAUCGUUUAUGCAGCAAGGAACGGGAUUUCCACUUGAAGUACGCUUCCACUGUUCGCCGACAGGUCCUCAAUGGUGAGCGAUUUGUUUACGGCAUAAGUACUGUGACUGAGCGAAGUCUAUCAAUUUACUGGGGUGUUCCAUGAGGAAUACUUAAAAUUCGAAAUUAACAAAAUAUUGUUAUGGCAGGGUCAAACAUAAAAAAUAGCAAAGCUUAUGAAUCACGAAUAAUUACUAAAAUCAAUUUCGCUGGAAAGUUAUGAAUACGAUUGAGUAUUUUUUUAUGGUCCAACACUAAUGAGUAAACUUUACACAAAGUAAUCAGAAAUUGCAUGAACUUAAAAAUACAACAAGCGAUUACUGCUAAAAAUUUAUGAAAUUUACAACUUUAAAAUGUGAAAGCUACACAAGCAAAUAAAG